UCGUGUAUCGCGAUCAAUUCAAAAAAAAUUACUUGUUAAAAUGUAAAUUUGUAAAAUCGAUGUAGUUUGACGUUACGGUAAACAUAAGACUAUUCUUUUGACAUGUCUGAUUACUGAUAAAUUCGUCUCAAUUCUACUUCAAAACGACAAACGUGUUAAUAAACAACAAAGCUUUCAACCCAUUCUACUAAUAACUUUAUAUUUUAUAGUAAUUUAUACUUAUUGGUAAAUGUGAAGUUCAGAAGCGGGGAGAGUUAAUUCAAAUUUCUGCCGAACUAGUAAUGGGGACAGAUAUGACGUGCAGAACUCAUCUGAAGAAGCUGCACGAACUGUUGAUAAAAUUUGAAGCUGAACCAAAAUUAAUCUGUACACAGAUAAACAAAUGGUUUCUUAUUGGUGAAGAUCUAUUUAAAGAACUAUUUCAACUUGGAAUCAGCGUAAAUUGGAAAUAUUCCGAUUUCAGAGAAGAAACAAAAAUAAAUGACAUAGUGCCUUGUUUUACUCAAAAUUACAAGUGGAUUGAGUGUUUUAUUAGCCAGUAUCCAAGAAAACGGAUUGAUUUAGAUUUAACUGGAUCUGCAGGAGAUAUUUGCAAAGUGCGUUCCGGAAUAGAGGUUUUGUUGGAAGGCUUUCGUAAUAUCAAUAAUGAAUUAGAUAAAGAUUUGGAAAACCUACGUGAGCUAGGUGAAGUUGAAGAAUUUGAUAAUUGUUUAAAGUUGUGGAUUGAAACUGGUUAUCGUCCGAGUUUCAAGCCUGGAGAUAAACCUUCCGGCGUACAUAAAGAUCAUUGGUGGUGGAUAUAGAAGAAUUUUAAGAUACGAUCCAUACUUUUCAAAUAAUCUAAAAUGAACGUAACUGAAAAUAAUUAGAUGUCCACAGCAACUAGUAAUGUUGAUAGAUAUCUUAAGAGGGGUGGUGAAGGUCUGGGUAAUACACCUCAAUUACUUAAGGGAACGCAAUUAUGGAAUACAAUAGGAAUAGCAAUGGGUCUACCCAUUCGUGAUCCAGCCGAAUGGACACAAGACAAAUUUCGAAGAGCUGAAAAUGGUGAUCUAUGUUCUUUUGGCGGAACAUCUUUAACAGCUAUUCAAGGUGUAGUCGAAACAAUUAUAUAUUGCUGCGAUGGAGAUAGUGAGAACUUUGUCACAGUUUUGCCUGUUGCGAUAUAUUUCCAGAGGAAACUGUAUGAAUUGCCAAUUUUUAGAGUUUCGCGCUACAGAAACUCGCAUAAAUAUUUUGUCGUCAGUAAAUAAAUAAUAAAUUCUUUAUUGCCAUAUAAUAAAUAAAUAUAAAAUGAACAAUUAGGAUACGCGAUGAAACAAAAGGCAGAGGGAAAAGGCUCAGCUUCACCUGACAUGGAAUCAUGGAUUUAAGUUUCCAUGCAGCGCUGUUUUUCAGCCAUCCCCUCCUCCCUAAGGUGUUGAGUGGGAGUGGAUGUAUUGUGGCUCCCCGAUUACCUACUUAAGUUAAAUUUAUUUAAUAAAAUGUAAUAUUAAAAAAAAGUGUUCUGAUUACCCUUGCAAGUGUUUGUAAGUCUGUGUGUCCGGGUGUGUGUUUGCGUGUGUGCGUUAGUGUGAGCGUGUAUUUAUGUCCGUACACAGAAAAAAUCUUUUAGAGAAAGAUUUUUCCCGUUGCUUUUUUAGUAGAGCAUAACGGUAUUUUUUUUUUAAGGACUCGAUAAUCAUUUGUUUAUUUUUUUCUUUCAAUUCUAUAUAAAUAAAAUAAUCUUACCAAUGAUAAGUCA